rnacentral:lncRNA from 1 species
CUUGGUCUUACCAUUUAUAUUACUUGUACGAUUUGGUACACUUGUCAAUUUGUCAACAGGUAUAACUAUUCUAUUUGUGUGAUUCGUAAUUGAUUUUAGGCUUUUUAUCUUUUUAUCUUUUUACCUUUUUAAUUUUAUUUUUUAUUUUUAUCUUUCUAUCUUUCUCUUUUUUUAUUUUUCUAUCUUUCUAUCAUUCUAUCUUUCUAUCCUUCUAUC